GGCGGAGUCGUGCCCGCAGCGGCGGGGCCGCGGCUUCUCAGCUCUCCGCCGUCGCGCGGUUAGCUGAGACGGGAUGCUGAAAGGCCUUGUCCGGAGGGCACGCCUCGGCUUUUAGGGGCACAGAAGCACAGAAUGGUUUGGGUUGAAAGGGACCUUAAUGCCCACCCAGUCCCAUCCCGUGCCGUGGGCAGGGCUGCCCCCCAGCACCUCAGCUGCCCAGGGCCCCAUUCAACCUGGCCUUGAGCGCCUCCAGGGAUGGGGCACCACAGCUUCCCUGGGCAGCUGUGCCAGCGCCUCAGCCCUCUGUGAAUAAAAUCUUCCUAGCCUAACCCGAAUUUCCCCUCUUCUAGUUUAAAUCUAUUCCCCCUUGUCCUAUCGCUAUCAUACUGUGUGAAAAGUCGGUCCCUCUCGUGCUUGUAAGCUGCCCUCAAGUAUUGGAAGGCCGCAGUGAGGUCUGCACAGAGGCUUCUCCUAGCUAAACAAGCCCAGCUCCCUCAGCCUUUCUUCACAGGAGAGGUGCUCCAGCCCACUGAUCGUCUUUGUGGUCCUGUUCUGGACCUGCUCCAACAGCUCCACAUCCCGCCUGCGCUGGUGGCCCCAGGCCUGAGUGUAGUGCUCCAGAUGGGGGUCGAGGAAGGCAGAGCAGAGGGGGACGAUGCUCUCCCUCUCCCUGCUGGUCACCCCUCUUCUGAUGCAGCCCAGGAUACGGUUGGCUUUCCAGGCUGCAAGCGCACACUGCUGGCUCAUGUCCAACUUUUCAUCCAUCAGAACCCCCAGGUCCUUCUCCCCAGGGCUGCUUUCAGUUUCUUUUCUUGUCUUGGUCUGUAUUCAUAUCUGGGAUUGCCCUGACCCAAAUGCAACAGCUUGCACUUGACCUUGUUGAACCUUAUUAGGUUCCCUUGGGCCCACUUCUAAACCCUGUCCAGAUCCCUCUGGAUGGUAUUCCUUCCUGUGCGUUCCGUGCAUCUAAACGCCUACAAAGCCAGUGCAGAAACUGCUCUUAGAGACACUUCAGUUGUUUAAAUAUCCAUGGCUUAGAGUUUCAGAGAAACAAUUCACCUACUACAGGCAUGUCCAGCCCAUGGGCUGAGAUCUGCUCUACUCAUAUAAAGGGUUGAGUAUUUGGUAGCAGUUUUCCUCUUAUCACUGAGAAAUGUGAAUUCAACCGCUCCAUGAUCAAUAUGGUAAAGACAGUUACCAAACACUACUUCACCCAUUAGACAUUCUCUGAUCACAAGUAAAAAAUCUAGGAGAGCACACACCUGCAUCUGCUUGCAAGUCAUAAGUGCUUCUAAACCAUUGUACAGUCUUGACUUGUUUGUUUGUUUGUUUUAUGGCUUGUUUGGUUAGAAGUAAAGUUAGAGUUUGGAACUCUGUUCUGGUGGUCCUCAGAUCUUUUGUGUUCUGUUACGUUUUUAUUUUUUAGCAUUUCCCGUAUGAUUGUAGAUGAGUUGGGUUUUUUUGGGUUUUUUGGGGUUUUUUUUUUGGCAGCUCUAUUAUGAUUGCAUGACUUCAUAGCUGUUUAAUGAAAGGUAUCUGUUCUCCUUUUUGUUUUUCUUUCAUUUUUAUUACUUGAUCUGUGUUUCCAGCCAUUCUUCUCAGACCUUGUCUGCAGUUUCAUUUUUUAGGCAGUUACUGGAAUUUUUUUUUUCCAUUCCUAACUGGAGUAGAAAUCAAGCAUUUAUUGUAUUUAUUCAUUGUCAUAGUCAAGAAACAAUAGUUUAGUGCCAUUGAAAAAAGAAAAAAAUCAAAACAAUGAAAUUCAUGUCUUAAUAAAACAAUUACCAAUUUCUCUUUGAACUUAAUAAAUGGAGUAGGAAAUCAUAUAUUUACUCAAUUUGCUUCUAUGUAAUUACAUUUCACUUGGUCCUGUUCCACAUCUGUACUAGCAAGGGCUGUGAAAGCCACACUGUAUUGGGUUUUCUCUUGCAUUAACAGUGUGUUGAGAAUUUUUCUCUGUAUGCCCCUCAAUUACAUUCUCUAUCCUAUUCAAUUAAGUAUCAUCCAUUAUUGCAUUUUCCUAGUACGUUUUAACAAUAUUUUUGAGAGAAUAUAUUUUAGUAUUCUUGCUUUCUCUUUUUCUUUAUUUAAACAUUGCACAGUCAUCUUCUGGAUCACUUCCUAUAGAUAAAUCAUCUUCUACACACAUGUUUUUUUUUUAACCAACACCUAAGACCUAUCCUAGUAAAUAAAAAAAUCUUUGUUUCUGUACACAGUCUUUGUUGGUCUUCUCUGAAGAGUCAAAAGCAUUCAUGACACCUGUAUCACUUUGAAUAAGCAAAGGAUUUUUAUCGUAUUUCUCAAAUUCUAUAUUCAACAGUCGUAUAAUAAAUCUUAAACCAAUAGUUUCUUUUCUGCUUAUUGAAAUACUGUAAACUCAUAAAUAAGAUCAUUUUGAUCUUCCUCUGUAUGAUCGGUCAUUUAGUCAGGAAAUACUACACAGAUGUAUGGCUACAGCACUGAAUAAAGCAAAAAAAUCCCAACAGUUUUCAUAAUCAGAAUAUACAGUGCAAGGGUAUAUAGAAACAUGGAACUUAGUAUGAAUAUUUACUUUACAAGUUGCAGAGAUGCCCGUGACAAAUACUUUCAUUCCCUGCAUAAUCUUAAACAGUCCUGGAGGCUGUAGUGAUAAUGCUAAACAAUGUGUAGAUUAUUUCAAUGUGAAAAUCAUCAGUGAUAUUAAAACAGACACUUAUGUACAUAGUUCUGAAGUUUACAAUUGUGUUUAAUCUUAUUAAUCAUUUACAUGAUAAUUAACAAUUAAGAGUUAGAUCUUUUUUAUUUCUUAAAGAUUUUAAAAAAAUCAUGUAAAUAUGUGUAUCAAAACAACAUUGGCUGUAUCAAUGUAAACAGUAAGAAACUUCUAUGUGGUUAAAAUGAUGACAUCUCCAAUACUUAUUCAUCUUAGAAGACUGACUGUUCAUUUUACAUCAGAUGAAAAAUUAGCUUUGCUUUACUUCAUUUUACUAGUGGAAAUCACUGUGGCAGGUCAUGGAAUUUACAGAGCUGGGAAAAGGACAGGACAAUAUUGUGUGUGUUAAAGAACUAGAGGGGAUUUUUGUGUGUGUGUGUAAUUGUUUUUCCUACAUCAUAUACUCUACUACUUGAGUAAAAUGAAGAUUUUAUGGCCUACUUUUAAACAGUGAUUUGAAAAUCACAAUGCAAUACAUAAACAGCCCAUUAGUACAUUCAUUUAGAUUUUCAGUGUUAAAAUUGUGCAGCACGAGACAUUUUGAUGCGCUACAAGCAGAUUCCUCAAGAGCACAACAUGCAAAUGGUAUUGCCUACAGUAGCGUAUAUUUUUGCACAGAAUGAGAAUUUGCUCUAUCUAGUAGUGUUACUGUGCUCUUUACGUCUGACAUAGUUUCCAUGGAAAUAAAUAGGAGGCAUUACUUUCUGUGUGGCCCAAGACAAUUCCUCUUGGCUCCGUGCAGCCCAAGCAAGCCAAAAUGUUGGACACCCGUGACCUACUAGAAAGAAAUACAAGCAAUUACUGCAUCAUCCAUCUUCCACCUCUUUGCUUUCGUAAACCAUUUGUGAGAUGCUAAUGUGAUGGUGCAGCAUUCAGUGAAAUGAUAUGUGAGGAUAUACCGUGUUUAAAAUGUCACAAUGUCCUUCUGAACGUGAGCAUGUUGUGCUAGGCUUCUGAAAUAGAAGACAAAAGGUCAAGAUCACAGGUCCAAUAAAAAGAGCUAGAACUGAAAAUAUAGAAGGUAAAACGUAAGAACAAGAAAAUGCAAGAACUGGAAAACACAUCUCUACCAGCAUGUCUGUGGGUUGGUAUAUAUCAUGUCGCUUUGCCAAAAGGAAGCGUUCUUUCAGUCUACUGGAAAAUACCCUUCUGCAGGAAAAGUGUGACCAGGAGGCAAAAAUGUCCUGAUUCUAUGUCUGAACAAAACACUCUUCCUAUGAAAUUGCCCUGUACCCAGCUAACUGAGAUUAAUACUCAGGCUUUGAAGUAGAUUCACUGUUUUUUAUCUGAUGCAGCAGACUGUGGGUACUGUGGAACUGUUGAACUAGCGGGCUGUUUCCAGACUGUUUUCAUUGCGGGGAUAUCUGUAGGGAAAAAGAGACCUUUGUAGAAUGGACUUGUUGGUUUAGAACGAGUCCAUCCUGCAUAGCGGGAGUGUAGAAUGACAAGUGCCACAUUCUACAGCCACUGGGAGAUACCAGGCAAGAAAUGCUGAAGAUUUGUUUCUAAAGUGUUGAAAAUGGUGACUAGCUUUAAAAUAUGUAUUUAAGAGUCAGGGUGUUCUUGUGCGUUUGUGGUGUUUAUAAAGUCUGUAUGAGUUACGGUGAUAUGAACAUCAUAAUAUUGUAGCCUGUUAUGAAUACACUGCCAUUAUUCAAAUUCCACCUUAGUCUUGCAGAAAUUGUCAUCAUACAAGGACAUAGAUUUCCACGUGAUAUUUGGAUAUCACAUGGAGUUGGAUAUUUCAUCAUGCAGAGCUGGCAAGAGAAAACAAAAGUACAAAACGUCCAGUAUUUGUGAAAGGGAAUCACUGAGCCUGUUGGCAUAAUCCCACACGUCAGCAAGGACUGUCCAUGUCUCUAUAGAGUACAAGUGAAUGUCCUGGAACUGAGGAGGACAGUCACUGAGCAGAUGCUCCUUGCAGAGUGUGUUACUCGUAGCAACCUGGCAAAUUUCCCAGCACAAAUUUACAUGUGACUCAGUCAUGUUUUUGCAUCAUUCACUCAAUUCUGUCUUUUCAAGCAUCUACAGAAUAGUAGAGACAAAUGAGGAGGAGCAGAACACAGGUGAUGGAGGUUGGUGGCACAACCCUCGGCACCACUGCAUCAGUAGAAGAGAAGUUGAUACCAUCUUGCCACUCCACCAAUGGAGCUGUGCCAGUGUUUGCACCUAUGCUAGAAGGCACACAAGUCCUUUCUAGUGGCAGAAUAAUAAUUAUACUGCACACCUCAUUACUGACACUGUCAGACUCUCUGUUUCUGUCUCCUCCUUGUCCUUUUUUAAUAUAUACUUCUUGACGUUGAUGGGUUUUGCAUGCCAUUUCUUUACUCAUUUUUUUUCCCCCACAAUUUCUUCUCUAUAUCACUACUAUCCUCUCAUUUUCCCUUUCCCUUCCUAUCAGUUUUCUAAAACUCCUGAGUCUGUAUGACAUCCUUGUCUGAUUCAAACCAUGCAGGGAGUGAGAGAAGGAUGAAUGCCACUUUCCAAUGCCAAGUGCCAGAGGUAUAUAAUGAAAACUUCAAUUUCUUGCAUCUUGUAUCACCGUAUUCUUGCCUUAUGCAUUUUUGACCUCUGUAACGUGGUACUGGUGCUAGGUAGUGACUCAAGGGAGCAACAGUGUUUAGUAUCAUUCACAGAAACCAAUGAAAAGAGGAAACUGAACACAAGUGAGAUGUCCCGGAGAAGAAAGAAAGUGUGCUGCAAGGCAGAUUUGUUCAACAUGCAGUUAACAGAAGGAACUGCCAUUUUGUCAACUAUUUACUUGGUGUCCAGUUUGUUUGCUUAAGAAGGGUAGACAAUUUUUUUUUUUUAAUUUAAAUAAAUGAUAUUCUAGUGUGAGAGAAUGGGCAGAGGGGUUACCAAAUUACUGUGACACUUUGUUUAACAAAACACAAAGGCAAACUUCCUAUUAGCAGCGUUCACUCUAUCUACACUGCUACAUAACAGAAAUGAUUUCUUAUGCUUUCCUCCUCAUGUCUCUUCCAUAAUACAAGCAAUAUAAAAUCAACACCAUGGCAGAAAGAGGCUCAAAUUCUGAAUUUGUAAGAUUUUUUUUUUUUUUUAUGUAGCAGUUAAUUUGUGGAUGUUUUUCUAAACAAUUGAAUGUAUAUUGGGAAUUGCAUGCUUGAAGACAUAGAGGUGGAGAGAUUUGUACAGUGAACAAGUUGUGCAGUUCUGUACAUGAGAUUCUGUUCAGUGUUAAUGGGGUUUUGUACACACUUGCUGGUAGCUACUAACUUUCACUUUUUAAAUAACUGAAAAUUGUACAGUGAAGGACAUUUUGCUGAGUAAUAAAUUUUACACAUUUCAAUCUUUUUCUCUAAGGAGAUUAGAAUGUUUUUAGCCUGUUAACACCUUCAAUUUCGAUCUCACUGUUGAAUAGGAACAUUUGUUGAAAUAGUGGAAACAAUGUUAUGAUAAUAAAGCAGAAUUCAAAACUGAUCUCAUCCAGUAGCAAAGACAUAAAAGAUGGCUGAAAAAAAAAAAUCACCCCAAGAAAACAUCACCACAUUAUUUGGACUGAGCUGGAUUUGGG
ensembl:lncRNA